rnacentral:tRNA from 1 species
UUAAAAGAGGUAUAGACCAUUAAUGGGGUAUGAGCCCAUUAGCUUAUUUUAGCUUAUCUUUUA